UUAAAUUGAAGAGUUUGAUCAUGGCUCAGAUUGAACGCUGGCGGCAGGCCUAACACAUGCAAGUCGAACGGUAACAGGAAGCAGCUUGCUGCUUUGCUGACGAGUGGCGGACGGGUGAGUAAUGUCUGGGAAACUGCCUGAUGGAGGGGGAUAACUACUGGAAACGGUGGCUAAUACCGCAUAACGUCGCAAGACCAAAGAGGGGGACCUUCGGGCCUCUUGCCAUCAGAUGUGCCCAGAUGGGAUUAGCUUGUUGGUGAGGUAACGGCUCACCAAGGCGACGAUCCCUAGCUGGUCUGAGAGGAUGACCAGCCACACUGGAACUGAGACACGGUCCAGACUCCUACGGGAGGCAGCAGUGGGGAAUAUUGCACAAUGGGCGCAAGCCUGAUGCAGCCAUGCCGCGUGUAUGAAGAAGGCCUUCGGGUUGUAAAGUACUUUCAGCGGGGAGGAAGGUGUUGUGGUUAAUAACCACAGCAAUUGACGUUACCCGCAGAAGAAGCACCGGCUAACUCCGUGCCAGCAGCCGCGGUAAUACGGAGGGUGCAAGCGUUAAUCGGAAUUACUGGGCGUAAAGCGCACGCAGGCGGUCUGUCAAGUCGGAUGUGAAAUCCCCGGGCUCAACCUGGGAACUGCAUUCGAAACUGGCAGGCUUGAGUCUUGUAGAGGGGGGUAGAAUUCCAGGUGUAGCGGUGAAAUGCGUAGAGAUCUGGAGGAAUACCGGUGGCGAAGGCGGCCCCCUGGACAAAGACUGACGCUCAGGUGCGAAAGCGUGGGGAGCAAACAGGAUUAGAUACCCUGGUAGUCCACGCCGUAAACGAUGUCUACUUGGAGGUUGUGCCCUUGAGGCGUGGCUUCCGGAGCUAACGCGUUAAGUAGACCGCCUGGGGAGUACGGCCGCAAGGUUAAAACUCAAAUGAAUUGACGGGGGCCCGCACAAGCGGUGGAGCAUGUGGUUUAAUUCGAUGCAACGCGAAGAACCUUACCUGGUCUUGACAUCCACGGAAGUUUUCAGAGAUGAGAAUGUGCCUUCGGGAACCGUGAGACAGGUGCUGCAUGGCUGUCGUCAGCUCGUGUUGUGAAAUGUUGGGUUAAGUCCCGCAACGAGCGCAACCCUUAUCCUUUGUUGCCAGCGGUUAGGCCGGGAACUCAAAGGAGACUGCCAGUGAUAAACUGGAGGAAGGUGGGGAUGACGUCAAGUCAUCAUGGCCCUUACGACCAGGGCUACACACGUGCUACAAUGGCGCAUACAAAGAGAAGCGACCUCGCGAGAGCAAGCGGACCUCAUAAAGUGCGUCGUAGUCCGGAUUGGAGUCUGCAACUCGACUCCAUGAAGUCGGAAUCGCUAGUAAUCGUGGAUCAGAAUGCCACGGUGAAUACGUUCCCGGGCCUUGUACACACCGCCCGUCACACCAUGGGAGUGGGUUACAAAAGAAGUAGGUAGCUUAACCUUCGGGAGGGCGCUUACCACUUUGUGAUUCAUGACUGGGGUGAAGUCGUAACAAGGUAACCGUAGGGGAACCUGCGGUUGGAUCACCUCCUUACCUGAAAGAAGC
rnacentral:rRNA from 1 species